UAAUAUAUCUGACCACACUGGCUCUGCAAGGCUGUGGCUGAAGACGGCUUAAACGUUGUCCUUGAGUGAAUAUCUUAACAUUUAUUGUAUCUUUUAUUUUCUUAACAAAAAUGAAGGAGUUUGUGAAUGUGUGGUUUUCCAUCAAAAAUUGGGAAUCAUGCCCUUUCAUCCAACACAGUUUUGACACAAUUUGAUGAAGUGAAAAAACAUUGGAGCAGAAGCAAAAAUUCCUAAGAAGGAGUCUCACCUCUUACCAUCAACCUAGUGUUCACUUUUGGUCCAUCUUUUCUCCU